GCGGACAUAGUGUAAUGGAAACAUCAGAGGUUGUCGAUCUCUGGCUCGGGGUUCAAUUCCCCGUGUCCGCGCCA
rnacentral:tRNA from 1 species